AUUAGAUUAGUAAAAUUUUAUUAUGUUGUCUUGAUAGGGCAGAGUUCCUUUUGGAUCUAAUA
rnacentral:tRNA from 1 species